UUAGAGUUGCUACAAGCGGCUCCUGUUGGUGGCCAUCUGGUUUUGUCACCCAGCCUCUUGCCUAUAGUCAUCUCUUGUUUUGCCAAUCCUUCAUCCGGCUUUACUCUCUGCUAGAUCAUAAUUUUCAAUUAAUCCUCAAGAGCAAUCAUGCCUCUGUCACCAGUCCUGGGAUCUCUUAUUUGUGUGUCCUUGUCCUCAUGAUGUGCAAGGACACAAGCAAGUAGACCCCCAGGUGGCAAGGCCUCAACUUGUCCUCCUUUUUUUUGUCAAACCAUUUUGGUUUCUUUAAAAAAGACCCUUAACUUGAUAUAAGAGAUGCUGUUGUAUUCUAGGAUUAAAAUCUCAAACCAACAUUUAAAAUUGAGGUUCAAGUGGUCAGGCAAAGAAAAGGAGAACCUCUGGACUUAAGAGAAAAAGCCUCUGGCUGUUUCCUGUAGGAGCGCAUACCAGUGCAGACCUUGUGCAAAUUGAAGUGGAAUUGUUUGUUUCUACUUUGUUCAGCACUAAACCAAAACCAAACUUUUAUUACAUAUUUCCACAAGAUGUUUGUCAAGAGAUGAAUCGCCUGAAUUAAAAUUCAGAACGGUGACACGACAUUCCCUGAUGAUCCAGGAAAGAGAAGAAGAGAAACAAACAAAUAUCAGGCACAGUUCCUUCUCAGUGCGAAUGAUAAAUGAUCAGUUUUGCUGUCAUCGUUGCAUGUUUUAAAAUAAUUUAAUUAAAACAGAAAGUAUUCGUAUCUUAUUCUCAUCUGUUUGACACGGCACUUCAUUACGAAUGUAGAUUGAUCACAAAUGAGUGUCAGUUUCAGAUCCUGGAUCUGGAUGAACUCUUUGAAGCCACAACUGUUCCUGAUCUGGUCAUGAUUUCAUGUUUCUCAGUGCUGCUGGUUUGUGUUUCCAUAAAGCAGUCAUAAGUUUAUGUGUGAACAAAUAUAACUUAGUGGUGUAUCUUCAUAAAAUGCUUUUAGACAUUCUCAAGCAAAAGAAACAUAACAAUAAAAUGAAAAAGACACACACAGCAGAAGAAAAAACUGCAUUCAUACUUUCGACAAAUGAGGUGUCUUGUGUGGUUUAUGAGGCUCAAAGACAUCAAUUAUUAUGUGCAUGACUGUUGUAUUAAGUAACCAAAGAUCUUAUCUUGUUUUUAUGGAAAAUAAAAAUGAAAAGCCAAAAAGAAAAAAAAAAAAGAUGGAGUAUCAGUGGUGUAGUGCUUCUGCAGUGUUACGACGAUACCAAUUCGUUUGGGUGUAGACUUUGGUGAUGCUUUGGCUUUUUAUCUUAACUUCUACCAGAUGUUUGUCACGUUGAAGCUUGAAUUUACUAGAGAAUCAAUCAGGUUUUUAUCUCUCUAGAACAUUCAGCACAUUGCCUGCUUUUAGGACUUUAACUUGGACUUGGCUGCAUUUAGAGCUGGAGUGGAGGAUAUUUUCUUAAUUCUAAUUUCUCUUUAUAAAAUAUUUGUUUUUUUGAGAAAAGACCAACAUGUUUGUUUAUCUGCAUUCAAGCUUCUUAAACACUCUCUGCAAUUAUUAGGGUUAGGGUUAGGGCCAACGAAGAUUAAUAACAGGUGGCUUCACCAACUCAGGAACUCCCACUACUCUCAGGUUGGCACGGAAGUUUUCACCACUCACAAGAAUACAAAAGUUUACAAAAUUGUGAAUUAGCACAUAAGCGAAAGGGGCUUUAAUCAAUCUUUUACGCAUGGUUCAC
rnacentral:lncRNA from 1 species